UGCCCAAGAGAUCGGGAUAACACCUGGAAACAGAUGCUAAUACCGGAUAACAACAGAUGAUGCCUAUCAACUGUUUAAAAGAUGGUUCUGCUAUCACUCUUNGGAUGGACCUGCGGUGCAUUAGCUAGUUGGUAGGGUAACGGCCUACCAAGGCGAUGAUGCAUAGCCGAGUUGAGAGACUGAUCGGCCACAUUGGGACUGAGACACGGCCCAAACUCCUACGGGAGGCAGCAGCC
rnacentral:rRNA from 1 species